rnacentral:rRNA from 1 species
GACGAACGCUGGCGGCGUGCUUAACACAUGCAAGUCGAACGGAAAGGCCCUGCUUUUGUGGGGUGCUCGAGUGGCGAACGGGUGAGUAACACGUGAGUAACCUGCCCUUGACUUUGGGAUAACUUCAGGAAACUGGGGCUAAUACCGGAUAGGAGCUCCUGCUGCAUGGUGGGGGUUGGAAAGUUUCGGCGGUUGGGGAUGGACUCGCGGCUUAUCAGCUUGUUGGUGGGGUAGUGGCUUACCAAGGCUUUGACGGGUAGCCGGCCUGAGAGGGUGACCGGACACAUUGGGACUGAGAUACGGCCCAGACUCCUACGGGAGGCAGCAGUGGGGAAUAUGGCACAAUGGGCGGAAGCCUGAUGCAGCAACGCCGCGUGCGGGAUGACGGCCUUCGGGUUGUAAACCGCUUUCGCCUGUGACGAAGCGUGAGUGACGGUAAUGGGUAAAGAAGCACCGGCUAACUACGUG